ensembl:lncRNA
CAGGGAUCAAACCCAUGCCCCCUGCAAUGGAAGAGUCUUAACCACUGAACCUCCAGGGAAGUCCCAAGAAUAAACAUCUUUGACUUUCUGAUGCUUAUUGUCUAGCAAGGGCAUGGGGAUGGGAGGCAAACAAAAACCAUGAACAUAUUAAAGUAUGUGCUAAGAGAAUAGCAGUGCAGGGUAAGAGUUACAAAGGCAGAGUUGGGGGAUAUGGGAAGGUGGGAGUGGCUUGCAAUUUUAUGGAGGGUAGACAGUGUGGGUCUCUUUGAGAGGGUGAUGGUUGAGCAAAAAUGAGAGUGGUGAGGGAGUAAGCCAUGUGGGUAUCUAGAGGCAGAAUGUUCUAGGCACCGGGAAGCCAGCACAAAGUCCAGAGAGCAGGAGUAUGCCAGGCAUGUUUGAGAGCAAAGAAUAAAGAAGGUAAUGUGGCUUGGAGAAGGAGCAGUAACUGCAUCUCUGUGGAUGCACAAGGAAAGAGGCAGAGAACCUGGGUGCAACUGCUGGUAGGUGGGUAGAUGUGGAAAUCUGGGGAGGUUUUUUCUGAUUCUCAAACAUCUUGGGGAAGAAGGAAGCAAAGUAAUCAGCUGAGACAGAGGGGAGAGAGGAAAGUAUGAGCUUGUCCUCCAGGAGAACAGAGAGUGAAUGGACUGGGGGAAAAUAUUAUGAAUGCCAGGUAGCACUGAGGUCCCACUUAAUGGGUUAACAAUCAUGCUCAAAAUGAGGCCAGUCAGCACAGUUGAUUCUUUCAGCAGGCAUAUUCAGCUGUUCUGGUAAACACAGAGCUGGGUUUUGCCAGGGUGGUAGUUCUGCUAAGCAACUUUGACAAAGUGAGAAGAGGGUAAGAGAUUUCAUGGGUCCUGAAGUGAGUGAUUACAACAUGAUAAUGACCAGAGAAUUUAUGCUGAGUAGAUAGGACCCCAAGUAAAAGGAAGGAAGGACUUUCAAAGGGAUUAGAAAUCCCCAUGAUUUAGAGGGAUUGGAGGAAUAGGGGUAUUAGAAAGAAUGAACUGGAAAAAAUAGGAGGUAGGGUCAGAAAAUGCUUCCUUUGUAAGGACUGUGCUAAAAAUGAAUGAAUGGGGAUUUCUCUGGUGGUACGGUGGAUACCCUGGUAGCUCAGAUAGUGAAGAAUCUACUUGUAAUGUGGUAGACCUGGGUUCGAUCUGUGGGUCAGGAAGAUCCUCUGGAGAAGGAAAUGGCAACCCACUCUAGGAUUCUUGCCUGGAAAAUCCCAUGGACAGAAGAGCCUGGUGGGCUACAGUCCAUGGGGCCACAAAGAGUUGGACAUGACUGAGCGACUAACACAUAGGGUCAGAAUGGAAUGUGUCCAAUUAAGAUUUUGAAAAUGCAUCUAAAAUCUUAGGGUAAUAUCUGGCACAAAUCAAAUACUCAAUUAUAAAUAGCUCUUGUUUGGAGUUCAUAAUACCUGUCCAAAACCUUUGAGGCCAGAUAUGUUUCAUAAUCCAGUCCUUCAGAUUGUAGGAUGAAGUCUUGGAAAGCUUUCCAUAAUCAAGUAUACUUGUAUUUCUUCAGUGAAAUAUAUGAAUAUUAUAUGAAUAUCCCACAUUAAGUGGGAUACAUAGCCAAAGGUAGGCUUAGGCUAGACUUUGCUAUCCAAUAAGUUUUGGCACUAAACUUAAAAAGCAGACAGUUUUUGUCUUGGGGACUUCCCUGGUGCUCCUGUACUUAAGAAUCUGCCUGCUGAUUCAGGGGACAUGCUUUGGAUCCCUGCUGGUUCAAGAAGAUCCCACAUGUCGCAGGGCAGCUAAGCCUGUGUGCCACAACUACUGAACCCAUAAAGCUCUAAGAGUCCAUGCUCCACAACAAGAGAAGCCACUACAAUGAGAAACCCAUGCACCGAAUACAGAGUAGCUUCCCACUUUUCCCAACUAGAGAAAGCUGUGUGCAACAAUGACCCAGCACAGCCAAAAUAAAUAAAUAAUUAAGAGCCUUUGAGAUUUAAGAAUUGCAGACAAGAGAAGGUGAACCUGUACUGGCAUUUAGACUAAGAGUUAAGGAAUUAUGGGCAAUCACUUUAUCUCUCUAGAUAUUAGUUAUUUCUGUAUGAAAAGAAGACUUUGAAAAAUUUCUUAGCUACUUUGAGCUCAACAUUUUACGUUUCAUUGAUACCCUUUGCUGGGCUUUAAAAAUUUUACUCAUAAACUAUUUACAGUUGAAUAAAGAGGGUUGGCCUAAAUUUUAAUAAAUGAGCUUAUUUUGAUUGUUAUGAUCUUGGGGUGACUAUUACAGUCUUGGGGAUUCCCUGGCAGUCCCAAGGACUCUGUGCUUCCACUGCAGGGUGCGUGGGUUCCAUCCCUGGUUGGGGAACUAGGAUCUCAUAUACCUUGUGGUAUGGGGGAAAGAAAAAAGCACAGCAAAACAAACAAAAAACUAUUAUAGUCCUGCUUAAACUGAUAAUAUCAGAAGAGUUUAGAACCUUUUCUUUUGCAUUUUCAAGGCUAAGAACAAUAUAAAUCAAUCACAGGCAUUUGAACAUCUAUCAAAUUUGGUGAAACCUCACAGGUCAGGUACAGCAGCUUUGUUCAAUUACCUCAUAUUCUCCAGGGAAGCUUUCCAAUAUGGAGUUCACUUUCUAGUAUAUACAAGAGCUGAACAGAGGACUGUUGUCCUUGGAGGGGCAGCCCCUCAAGGGGAGAGAGAUGCUGAGGGAGAUCUGAAGUGGGCACACAUCUUCCUGGGCAGGGCUACAUCGCUGGAACACGAGAAGGAAGUGCGAUGACAUCAAGCUCCCGAAGAGGAACAGGUGGGCGUUUUCUCUGACCUGCACACUUAGCCAAGUCAGUGU